CAGUGCAUGGGCGGUUGGGUUGCUGUUACAAGGUAGCACUGAAAUCUCUCAUUUCUCAACAUGCUCAAUCAUAGCAAACUAGUGGGCAAUAUAGAUGAGAGGAUAAGAUUCAUCAUGUGUUCCUAGGUAAUCUACAAAACUUGGAAUUAGUAUGUAUUUUGCCUACAACACCCAGCGGGACUUGCUAAUAUUUUUAUUUUGCCUAUUUCACCCAACCAAGACUUCAUGCAACCUACAAAAUCAGAAAACAAAAGCAUGCCUAAGCAAAAAAGCUUCAUCACCUACUUCUCAGAUACGAUUCGGACAAACAAAAAACUUGUUGUGAUCACCCUAGGGAUUAACCUGGUGCAUGCACAAAUCUUUAUGUAGUUUGUCUACAUCACAAAAACAACUUGCCUAAAAACUUGCUAAACUUUGCUUAACAGUUCUUGGCCCAAAAAGCAAGAGAUAAUUUUUUGCUUUCUUGCUGAUUGCACAGAACUUGCCCCAAAAGAAUUGCUGGGGCAUGCGUUGUAGGGUGAUUUCUCACCUCGUGUCAAGCUCGACCUGCAUCGUUGAAUCAUAUCCUGCCUGCUGGUCCUUUGGGUGGGUGUGUACAACAGGGUCAGCAGCAGUUUGGUCUUCAGUUUCGUCCGUCAUGUUGGCUUUAGGCUUGUAGCCUAGUAGUGUUGUAAAUAUCUGAAUAACUUGGUGGCUUCUUACAAGGGAGGAGGACAUGGAUGGAUGUUGGCUGCCGGCCAGCCGAUGAGGUUGCACAACAUGCAGUGCGCCAAUGAAGAAGCAACGGAUUUUCACUAGUACUCCUAGUAUUAUUGUUGGCCAAUUCACGGGGGGCGACGAUGAGGGAUGGACGAACAAGUUGUGGCGAGUGGGAGAGGCAAGGGGACCUGUUCACCGCUGCGAGGGGGAUGUCGAAGGAACCAAAAACGGAAGCUAGCACAGCGACACCAUGUUCAUUUGUCUGUAGGAGUGCCUCACUAAAUUCUAAAACGAUGUCAAAGCAACAUUUUCGAGGUUUUAUGCACACGCCCAAGCAAGAAGCUUCAACAUCCACUUCCAGCAUGACUUGCUGUUUAUUUUCUCUGUGCAAGCAAGAAGCUUUGCCUAUCACUUUCAGUGGGGAAAAUGGCUGGGACGAGCAAAAAAUGCAAUUGGCAGCAACAACUUGCGGACGCUCCUGACCAUGAUUCAUCUCUUGACCAUGAUUCAUCUACUACCUUUGAAGAGCAACAAACAGCGGGAGGAAUACGGCAAGCUGUGGGGAUCAGGGCACACCCCAAGCUAUCCAGAGAGAGAGGUGGCGCAGGGGAGGUUGUACAGGAAGCGUGAUUGGAAACUGACCUUCAAGUGCUCAUGGGGUGGGUGGAUGAUCCUCAGAGUUCCAUGUAUAUAAGAUUCAUGGCAGAAGAUGGAGAAGGGAGGGAUGGGUAGAUGGGGAAGAAAGGCUGGAGGAGGAGCGGGGGGUUGGACUGUAUGGGAAGGGAGGAAGGCUGCAGAGUUUUUGUGGCGUGUGGUUUUUUUUGUUUGACUAUUUCUUGUGGCGUGAGAUUCACACUGUAUUGUGGGACUGUAUUGUGGGAGGAGGUAAUCUGUCCAUGUGAGUGAUCGAACCGUUUCUUUCCUCUUUUGGGCGCCAGCUAGCAACAGGGGAGGGUCCACUGCCUUAUUUAGGUGUGUGCCCUGGACCGCUAGCCAGCCAACGGCUGCUGGCUAGUCGCGUCCAUUAGUAUUUCAUUAUCUGUCAACCGAUCCCUCCCUGUCCUGCACUUUCUCCUUGCAAAUUUGUAACAGAAUCGUAACUUUCCUUAU